AUUGAACGCUGGCGGCAGGCCUAACACAUGCAAGUCGAGCGGAUGAAGGGAGCUUGCUCCUGGAUUCAGCGGCGGACGGGUGAGUAAUGCCUAGGAAUCUGCCUGGCAGUGGGGGAUAACGUCCGGAAACGGGCGCUAAUACCGCAUACGUCCUGAGGGAGAAAGGGGGGGAUCUUCGGACCUCACGCUAUCAGAUGAGCCUAGGUCGGAUUAGCUAGUUGGUGGGGUAAAGGCCUACCAAGGCGACGAUCCGUAACUGGUCUGAGAGGAUGAUCAGUCACACUGGAACUGAGACACGGUCCAGACUCCUACGGGAGGCAGCAGUGGGGAAUAUUGGACAAUGGGCGAAAGCCUGAUCCAGCCAUGCCGCGUGUGUGAAGAAGGUCUUCGGAUUGUAAAGCACUUUAAGUUGGGAGGAAGGGCAGUAAGUUAAUACCUUGCUGUUUUGACGUUACCAACAGAAUAAGCACCGGCUAACUUCGUG
rnacentral:rRNA from 1 species